GACGAACGCUGGCGGCGUGCUUAACACAUGCAAGUCGAACGGAAAGGCCUCUUCGGAGGUACUCGAGUGGCGAACGGGUGAGUAACACGUGGGCAAUCUGCCCUGCACUUCGGGAUAAGCCCGGGAAACUGGGUCUAAUACCGGAUAGGACCUUUAGACGCAUGUCUUUUGGUGGAAAGCUUUUGCGGUGUGGGAUGGGCCCGCGGCCUAUCAGCUUGUUGGUGGGGUGAUGGCCUACCAAGGCGACGACGGGUAGCCGGCCUGAGAGGGUGUCCGGCCACACUGGGACUGAGAUACGGCCCAGACUCCUACGGGAGGCAGCAGUGGGGAAUAUUGCACAAUGGGCGCAAGCCUGAUGCAGCGACGCCGCGUGGGGGAUGACGGCCUUCGGGUUGUAAACCUCUUUCACCAUCGACGAAGGUCCGGGUUUUCUCGGAUUGACGGUAGGUGGAGAAGAAGCACCGGCCAACUACG
rnacentral:rRNA from 1 species